rnacentral:rRNA from 1 species
UGCAGUCGAACGGUGAAGCCCUUCGGGGUGGAUCAGUGGCGAACGGGUGAGUAACACGUGGGCAAUCUGCCCUGCACUCUGGGACAAGCCCUGGAAACGGGGUCUAAUACCGGAUAUUACCUUCCUCUGCAUGGGGGUUGGUGGAAAGCUCCGGCGGUGCAGGAUGAGCCCGCGGCCUAUCAGCUUGUUGGUGGGGUAAUGGCCUACCAAGGCGACGACGGGUAGCCGGCCUGAGAGGGCGACCGGCCACACUGGGACUGAGACACGGCCCAGACUCCUACGGGAGGCAGCAGUGGGGAAUAUUGCACAAUGGGCGAAAGCCUGAUGCAGCGACGCCGCGUGAGGGAUGACGGCCUUCGGGUUGUAAACCUCUUUCAGCAGGGAAGAAGCGAAAGUGACGGUACCUGCAGAAGAAGCACCGGCUAACUACGUGCCAGCAGCCGCGGUAAUACGUAGGGUGCGAGCGUUGUCCGGAAUUAUUGGGCGUAAAGAGCUCGUAGGCGGCUUGUCACGUCGGUUGUGAAAGCCCGGGGCUUAACCCCGGGUCUGCAGUCGAUACGGGCAGGCUAGAGUUCGGUAGGGGAGAUCGGAAUUCCUGGUGUAGCGGUGAAAUGCGCAGAUAUCAGGAGGAACACCGGUGGCGAAGGCGGAUCUCUGGGCCGAUACUGACGCUGAGGAGCGAAAGCGUGGGGAGCGAACAGGAUUAGAUACCCUGGUA